GGCUUCGUGGUCUAGUCGUAUGAUUGUCGCUUCGGGAAUUCCCCACAGAGUUAAAACCUGUGAUCCACUGUGACAGGUCCCGGGUUCAAAUCCCGGCGAAGCCC